AAUUUUGGGCAAUGGGCGCAAGCCUGACCCAGCAACGCCGCGUGAAGGAUGAAGUUUUUCGGAAUGUAAACUUCACAAGAAUGGGAAGAAUAAGAAUUGGCUAACGUCCAAUUCGAUGACGGUACCAUUUGUAAGCUCCGGCUAACUCCGUGCCAGCAGCCGCGGUAAGACGGAGGGUGCUAGCGUUGUUCGGAAUCACUGGGCGUAAAGGGCGCGUAGGCGGCUGUGGCAGUCGGGUGUGAAAGCCCGGAGCUCAACUCCGGAAUUGCACUCGAGACGCCAUGGCUGGAGGCCGGAAGAGGAGGGUGGAAUACCCAGUGUAGAGGUGAAAUUCGUAGAUAUUGGGUGGAACACCGGUGGCGAAAGCGGCUCUCUGGUCCGGACCUGACGCUGAGGCGCGAAAGCGUGGGGAGCAAAC
rnacentral:rRNA from 1 species